rnacentral:rRNA from 1 species
AGAACGAACGCUGGCGGCAGGCCUAACACAUGCAAGUCGAACGCUGUAGCAAUACAGAGUGGCAGACGGGUGAGGAACACGUGGGAACAUACCCUUUGGUUCGGAAUAACUCAGGGAAACUUGAGCUAAUACCGGAUAAGCCCUUACGGGGAAAGAUUUAUCGCCGAAGGAUUGGCCCGCGUCCGAUUAGCUAGUUGGUGAGGUAACGGCUCACCAAGGCGACGAUCGGUAGCUGGUCUGAGAGGAUGAUCAGCCACAUUGGGACUGAGACACGGCCAAACUCCUACGGGAGGCAGCAGUGGGGAAUAUUGGACAAUGGGCGCAAGCCUGAUCCAGCCAUGCCGCGUGAGUGAUGACGGCCUUAGGGUUGUAAAGCUCUUUCACCCACGACGAUAAUGACGGUAGUGGGAGAAGAAGCCCCGGCUAACUUCGUGCCAGCAGCCGCGGUAAUACGAAGGGGGCUAGCGUUGUUCGGAUUUACUGGGCGUAAAGCGCACGUAGGCGGAUCUUUAAGUCAGGGGUGAAAUGCCGGAGCUCAACUUCGGAACUGCCUUUGAUACUGGAGAUCUUGAGUUCGAGAGAGGUGAGUGGAACUGCGAGUGUAGAGGUGAAAUUCGUAGAUAUUCGCAAGAACACCAGUGGCGAAGGCGGCUCACUGGCUCGAUACUGACGCUGAGGUGCGAAAGCGUGGGGAGCAAACAGGAUUAGAUACCCUGGUAGUCCACGCCGUAAACGAUGGAUGCUAGCCGUUAGGCAGCUUGCUGCUUAGUGGCGCAGCUAACGCUUUAAGCAUCCCGCCUGGGGAGUACGGUCGCAAGAUUAAA